rnacentral:lncRNA from 1 species
ACUAAGAGGAACUGGACACCAGGAGCCUCAUACCAGGACUGCCCAGCCGAGCCACUCGAUUCCUGACCCACAUGGCCCUUGAGAUGACAAGUGAUUGCUGCUUAAAGUCACUGAGUUCUGGAAUAAUUUACAUCAUGGCAAUAGUUCCAAUAUUCAGUAUCAGGCCUGGUCCUCCUAAUCUACUGGAGAAGAGUUGGUUAUGGCAUGGCAUCUAAUAGUCAUCUCUUCUUAAUACAAAUGAUAAUAAAUUUCACUGCUAAGACGACAAUCAUCUGAAAAAAACAGACAUUUGCUUAUGUUUUAAAGUCAUAAUAGCAAACUGGGGCUCUCUUCAACAUCUGGAUUCAUCUCAGAGCACUGGCAAUCUGUGUUUAACAGCAGUCAUGUCUUUACCAGAUGUAGAAAGAAUGUUCUCUUCUUUUGGACUUACCUAAAUAUCAUUUGGAAAUUGGAAGAACAGGAAAGCAUAUCCUUUUUCACUAACUAUAAAAAUAAUUUGGAAGGAGAAGGAAACAAAAAAAACCUUGAAGUUUUCUAUGCUGGUCUACAUGGUCUUACAAUGAAUCUCAGAGCAACGGUUUAUGACUUAAAUUAUAUGCUGUGUUCCUUAGCAUACUUUUUCUUCAAAAACUAGUAAUUCUAAAUUGUAUAAUUCUUGACUAUGAUAAAAGAGCCCAUUUCUUGACCAUGUCAUUUAUACUGGACUUUUGUUACUGAUGGGGAAAAAUCCAGAAUUUGUAAUAAUUAUGUCUUGGAUAUGCAAAUGGUUGAUUAUUUUCCUAACAAUUCCCAAAAUAUCCACAUCAUAAAGCAGAAUUAAAGAUGGUUUGCCUCUCA